CUCAUUUAUAUAUCCUUAUCUCAGUCUGAGAAUUAGAAGAAGAUGGGAAUGAAAUGAUGUUUUUCGGGUAUAAUUAGACACAUUACGAGAGAAAAACAUUAAUUCCAGCCUAUCCAAACACUAUUUAGAAAAUGAAACGAUGAUAUAGAAAAUAGGUGGAAAAAUCGAAAUCUCAUUUAUAUAUCCUUAUCUCAGUCUGAGAAUUAGAAGAGGAUGGGAAUGAAAUGAUGUUUUUCGGGUAUAAUUAGACACAUUACGCGAGAAAAACACUAAUUCCAGCCGAUAGAAACACUACUUAGAAAAUGAAACGAUGAUAUAGAAAAUAGGUGGAAAAAUCGAAAUCUCAUUUAUAUAUCCUUAUCUCAGUCUGAGAAUUAGAAGAGGAUGGGAAUGAAAUGAUGUUUUUCGGGUAUAAUUAGACACAUUACGCGAGAAAAACACUAAUUCCAGCCGAUAGAAACACUACUUAGAAAAUGAAACGAUGAUAUAGAAAAUAGGUGGAAAAAUCGAAAUCUCAUUUAUAUAUCCUUAUCUCAGUCUGAGAAUUAGAAGAGGAUGGGAAUGAAAUGAUGUUUUUCGGGUAUAAUUAGACACAUUACGCGAGAAAAACACUAAUUCCAGCCGAUACAAACACUAUUUAGAAAAUGAAACGAUGAUAUAGAAAAUAGGUGGAAAAAUCGAAAUCUCAUUUAUAUAUCCUUAUCUCAGUCUGAGAAUUAGAAGAAGAUGGGAAUGAAAUGAUGUUUUUCGGGUAUAAUUAGACACAUUACGCGAGAAAAACACUAAUUCCAGCCGAUACAAACACUAUUUAGAAAAUGAAACGAUAAUAUAGAAAAUAGGUGGAAAAAUCGAAAUCUCAUUUAUAUAUCCUUAUCUCAGUCUGAGAAUUAGAAGAGGAUGGGAAUGAAAUGAUGUUUUUCGGGUAUAAUUAGACACAUUACGCGAGAAAAACACUAACUCCAGCCUAUCCAAACACUAUUUAGAAAAUGAAACGAUGAUAUAGAAAAUAGGUGGAAAAAUCGAAAUCUCAUUUAUAUAUCCUUAUCUCAGUCUGAGAAUUAGAAGAAGAUGGGAAUGAAAUGAUGUUUUUCGGGUAUAAUUAGACACAUUACGAGAGAAAAACAUUAACUCCAGCCUAUCCAAACACUAUUUAGAAAAUGAAACGAUGAUAUAGAAAAUAGGUGGAAAAAUCGAAAUCUCAUUUAUAUAUCCUUAUCUCAGUCUGAGAAUUAGAAGAAGAUGGGAAUGAAAUGAUGUUUUUCGGGUAUAAUUAGACACAUUACGCGAGAAAAACACUAAUUCCAGCCGAUACAAACACUAUUUAGAAAAUGAAACGAUGAUAUAGAAAAUAGGUGGAAAAAUCGAAAUCUCAUUUAUAUAUCCUUAUCUCAGUCUGAGAAUUAGAAGAGGAUGGGAAUGAAAUGAUGUUUUUCGGGUAUAAUUAAACACAUUACGCGAGAAAAACACUAAUUCCAACCGAUACAAACACUGUUUAGAAAAUGAAACGAUGAUAUAGAAAAUAGGUGGAAAAAUCGAACUCUCAUUUAUAUAUCCUUAUCUCAGUCUGAGAAUUAGAAGAAGAUGGGAAUGAAAUGAUGUUUUUCGGGUAUAAUUAGACACAUUACGAGAGAAAAACAUUAACUCCAGCCUAUUCAAACACUAUUUAGAAAAUGAAACGAUGAUAUAGAAAAUAGGUGGAAAAAUCGAAAUCUCAUUUAUAUAUCCUUAUCUCAGUCUGAGAAUUAGAAGAGGAUGGGAAUGAAAUGAUGUUUUUCGGGUAUAAUUAGACACAUUACGCGAGAAAAACACUAAUUCCAGCCGAUAGAAACACUACUUAGAAAAUGAAACGAUGAUAUAGAAAAUAGGUGGAAAAAUCGAAAUCUCAUUUAUAUAUCCUUAUCUCAGUCUGAGAAUUAGAAGAAGAUGGGAAUGAAAUGAUGUUUUUCGGGUAUAAUUAGACACAUUACGCGAGAAAAACACUAAUUCCAGCCGAUACAAACACUAUUUAGAAAAUGAAACGAUAAUAUAGAAAAUAGGUGGAAAAAUCGAAAUCUCAUUUAUAUAUCCUUAUCUCAGUCUGAGAAUUAGAAGAGGAUGGGAAUGAAAUGAUGUUUUUCGGGUAUAAUUAGACACAUUACGCGAGAAAAACACUAACUCCAGCCUAUCCAAACACUAUUUAGAAAAUGAAACGAUGAUAUAGAAAAUAGGUGGAAAAAUCGAAAUCUCAUUUAUAUAUCCUUAUCUCAGUCUGAGAAUUAGAAGAAGAUGGGAAUGAAAUGAUGUUUUUCGGGUAUAAUUAGACACAUUACGAGAGAAAAACAUUAACUCCAGCCUAUCCAAACACUAUUUAGAAAAUGAAACGAUGAUAUAGAAAAUAGGUGGAAAAAUCGAAAUCUCAUUUAUAUAUCCUUAUCUCAGUCUGAGAAUUAGAAGAAGAUGGGAAUGAAAUGAUGUUUUUCGGGUAUAAUUAGACACAUUACGCGAGAAAAACACUAAUUCCAGCCGAUACAAACACUAUUUAGAAAAUGAAACGAUGAUAUAGAAAAUAGGUGGAAAAAUCGAAAUCUCAUUUAUAUAUCCUUAUCUCAGUCUGAGAAUUAGAAGAGGAUGGGAAUGAAAUGAUGUUUUUCGGGUAUAAUUAAACACAUUACGCGAGAAAAACACUAAUUCCAACCGAUACAAACACUGUUUAGAAAAUGAAACGAUGAUAUAGAAAAUAGGUGGAAAAAUCGAACUCUCAUUUAUAUAUCCUUAUCUCAGUCUGAGAAUUAGAAGAAGAUGGGAAUGAAAUGAUGUUUUUCGGGUAUAAUUAGACACAUUACGAGAGAAAAACAUUAACUCCAGCCUAUUCAAACACUAUUUAGAAAAUGAAACGAUGAUAUAGAAAAUAGGUGGAAAAAUCGAAAUCUCAUUUAUAUAUCCUUAUCUCAGUCUGAGAAUUAGAAGAGGAUGGGAAUGAAAUGAUGUUUUUCGGGUAUAAUUAGACACAUUACGCGAGAAAAACACUAAUUCCAGCCGAUAGAAACACUACUUAGAAAAUGAAACGAUGAUAUAGAAAAUAGGUGGAAAAAUCGAAAUCUCAUUUAUAUAUCCUUAUCUCAGUCUGAGAAUUAGAAGAGGAUGGGAAUGAAAUGAUGUUUUUCGAGUAUAAUUAGACACAUUACGCGAGAAAAACACUAAUUCCAGCCGAUAGAAACACUACUUAGAAAAUGAAACGAUGAUAUAGAAAAUAGGUGGAAAAAUCGAAAUCUCAUUUAUAUAUCCUUAUCUCAGUCUGAGAAUUAGAAGAGGAUGGGAAUGAAAUGAUGUUUUUCGUGUAUAAUUAGACACAUUACGCGAGAAAAACACUAAUUCCAGCCGAUAGAAACACUAUUUAGAAAAUGAAACGAUGAUAUAGAAAAUAGGUGGAAAAAUCGAAAUCUCAUUUAUAUAUCCUUAUCUCAGUCUGAGAAUUAGAAGAGGAUGGGAAUGAAAUGAUGUUUUUCGGGUAUAAUUAGACACAUUACGCGAGAAAAACACUAAUUCCAGCCGAUAGAAACACUACUUAGAAAAUGAAACGAUGAUAUAGAAAAUAGGUGGAAAAAUCGAAAUCUCAUUUAUAUAUCCUUAUCUCAGUCUGAGAAUUAGAAGAGGAUGGGAAUGAAAUGAUGUUUUUCGAGUAUAAUUAGACACAUUACGCGAGAAAAACACUAAUUCCAGCCGAUAGAAACACUACUUAGAAAAUGAAACGAUGAUAUAGAAAAUAGGUGGAAAAAUCGAAAUCUCAUUUAUAUAUCCUUAUCUCAGUCUGAGAAUUAGAAGAGGAUGGGAAUGAAAUGAUGUUUUUCGGGUAUAAUUAGACACAUUACGCGAGAAAAACACUAAUUCCAGCCGAUACAAACACUAUUUAGAAAAUGAAACGAUGAUAUAGAAAAUAGGUGGAAAAAUCGAAAUCUCAUUUAUAUAUCCUUAUCUCAGUCUGAGAAUUAGAAGAGGAUGGGAAUGAAAUGAUGUUUUUCGAGUAUAAUUAGACACAUUACGCGAGAAAAACACUAAUUCCAGCCGAUAGAAACACUACUUAGAAAAUGAAACGAUGAUAUAGAAAAUAGGUGGAAAAAUCGAAAUCUCAUUUAUAUAUCCUUAUCUCAGUCUGAGAAUUAGAAGAGGAUGGGAAUGAAAUGAUGUUUUUCGAGUAUAAUUAGACACAUUACGCGAGAAAAACACUAAUUCCAGCCGAUAGAAACACUACUUAGAAAAUGAAACGAUGAUAUAGAAAAUAGGUGGAAAAAUCGAAAUCUCAUUUAUAUAUCCUUAUCUCAGUCUGAGAAUUAGAAGAGGAUGGGAAUGAAAUGAUGUUUUUCGAGUAUAAUUAGACACAUUACGCGAGAAAAACACUAAUUCCAGCCGAUAGAAACACUACUUAGAAAAUGAAACGAUGAUAUAGAAAAUAGGUGGAAAAAUCGAAAUCUCAUUUAUAUAUCCUUAUCUCAGUCUGAGAAUUAGAAGAGGAUGGGAAUGAAAUGAUGUUUUUCGAGUAUAAUUAGACACAUUACGCGAGAAAAACACUAAUUCCAGCCGAUACAAACACUAUUUAGAAAAUGAAACGAUGAUAUAGAAAAUAGGUGGAAAAAUCGAAAUCUCAUUUAUAUAUCCUUAUCUCAGUCUGAGAAUUAAAAGAGGAUGGGAAUGAAAUGAUAUUUUUCGGGUAUAAUUAGACACAUUACGGGAGAAAAACACUAAUUCCAGCCGAUACAAACACUAUUUAGAAAAUGAAACGAUGAUAUAGAAAUUAGGUGGAAAAAUCGAAAUCUCAUUUAUAUAUCCUUAUCUCAGUCUGAGAAUUAGAAGAGGAUGGGAAUGAAAUGAUGUUUUUCGGGUAUAAUUAGACACAUUACGCAAGAAAAACACUAAUUCCAGCCGAUACAAACACUAUUUAGAAAAUGAAACGAUGAUAUAGAAAAUAGGUGGAAAAAUCGAAAUCUCAUUUAUAUAUCCUUAUCUCAGUCUGAGAAUUAAAAGAGGAUGGGAAUGAAAUGAUAUUUUUCGGGUAUAAUUAGACACAUUACGGGAGAAAAACACUAAUUCCAGCCGAUACAAACACUAUUUAGAAAAUGAAACGAUGAUAUAGAAAAUAGGUGGAAAAAUCGAAAUCUCAUUUAUAUAUCCUUAUCUCAGUCUGAGAAUUAGAAGAUGAUGGGAAUGAAAUGAUGUUUUUCGGGUAUAAUUAGACACAUUACGCGAGAAAAACACUAAUUCCAGCCUAUCCAAACACUAUUUAGAAAAUGAAACGAUGAUAUAGAAAAUAGGUGGAAAAAUCGAAAUCUCAUUUAUAUAUCCUUAUCUCAGUCUGAGAAUUAGAAGAUGAUGGGAAUGAAAUGAUGUUUUUCGGGUAUAAUUAGACACAUUACGCGAGAAAAACACUAAUUCCAGCCGAUAGAAACACUACUUAGAAAAUGAAACGAUGAUAUAGAAAAUAGGUGGAAAAAUCGAAAUCUCAUUUAUAUAUCCUUAUCUCAGUCUGAGAAUUAGAAGAGGAUGGGAAUGAAAUGAUGUUUUUCGAGUAUAAUUAGACACAUUACGCGAGAAAAACACUAAUUCCAGCCGAUAGAAACACUACUUAGAAAAUGAAACGAUGAUAUAGAAAAUAGGUGGAAAAAUCGAAAUCUCAUUUAUAUAUCCUUAUCUCAGUCUGAGAAUUAGAAGAGGAUGGGAAUGAAAUGAUGUUUUUCGAGUAUAAUUAGACACAUUACGCGAGAAAAACACUAAUUCCAGCCGAUAGAAACACUACUUAGAAAAUGAAACGAUGAUAUAGAAAAUAGGUGGAAAAAUCGAAAUCUCAUUUAUAUAUCCUUAUCUCAGUCUGAGAAUUAGAAGAGGAUGGGAAUGAAAUGAUGUUUUUCGAGUAUAAUUAGACACAUUACGCGAGAAAAACACUAAUUCCAGCCGAUAGAAACACUACUUAGAAAAUGAAACGAUGAUAUAGAAAAUAGGUGGAAAAAUCGAAAUCUCAUUUAUAUAUCCUUAUCUCAGUCUGAGAAUUAGAAGAGGAUGGGAAUGAAAUGAUGUUUUUCGAGUAUAAUUAGACACAUUACGCGAGAAAAACACUAAUUCCAGCCGAUAGAAACACUACUUAGAAAAUGAAACGAUGAUAUAGAAAAUAGGUGGAAAAAUCGAAAUCUCAUUUAUAUAUCCUUAUCUCAGUCUGAGAAUUAGAAGAGGAUGGGAAUGAAAUGAUGUUUUUCGGGUAUAAUUAGACACAUUACGAGAGAAAAACAUUAAUUCCAGCUUAUCCAAACACUAUUUAGAAAAUGAAACGAUGAUAUAGAAAAUAGGUGGAAAAAUCGUAAUCUCAUUUAUAUAUCCUUAUCUCAGUCUGAGGAUUAGAAGAGGAUGGGAAUGAAAUGAUGUUUUUCGGGUAUAAUUAGACACAUUACGCGAGAAAAACACUAAUUCCAGCCGAUACAAACACUAUUUAGAAAAUGAAACGAUGAUAUAGAAAAUAGGUGGAAAAAUCGAAAUCUCAUUUAUAUAUCCUUAUCUCAGUCUGAGAAUUAGAAGAGGAUGGGAAUGAAAUGAUGUUUUUCGAGUAUAAUUAGACACAUUACGCGAGAAAAACACUAAUUCCAGCCGAUAGAAACACUACUUAGAAAAUGAAACGAUGAUAUAGAAAAUAGGUGGAAAAAUCGAAAUCUCAUUUAUAUAUCCUUAUCUCAGUCUGAGAAUUAGAAGAGGAUGGGAAUGAAAUGAUGUUUUUCGGGUAUAAUUAGACACAUUACGAGAGAAAAACAUUAAUUCCAGCUUAUCCAAACACUAUUUAGAAAAUGAAACGAUGAUAUAGAAAAUAGGUGGAAAAAUCGUAAUCUCAUUUAUAUAUCCUUAUCUCAGUCUGAGAAUUAGAAGAGGAUGGGAAUGAAAUGAUGUUUUUCGGGUAUAAUUAGACACAUUACGCGAGAAAAACACUAAUUCCAGCCGAUACAAACACUAUUUAGAAAAUGAAACGAUGAUAUAGAAAAUAGAUGGAAAAAUCGUAAUCUCAUUUAUAUAUCCUUAUCUCAGUCUGAGAAUUAGAAGAGGAUGGGAAUGAAAUGAUGUUUUUCGGGUAUAAUUAGACACAUUACGCGAGAAAAACACUAAUUCCAGCCAAUACAAACACUAUUUAGAAAAUGAAACGAUGAUAUAGAAAAUAGGUGGAAAAAUGGAAAUCUCAUUUAUAUAUCCUUAUCUCAGUCUGAGAAUUAGAAGAAGAUGGGAAUGAAAUGAUGUUUUUAGGGUAUAAUUAGACACAUUACGCGAGAAAAACACUAAUUCCAGCCGAUCCAAACACUAUUUAGAAAAUGAAACGAUGAUAUAGAAAAUAGGUGGAAAA
rnacentral:lncRNA from 1 species